AGACGCUGCGGACUAGCUCUUCAGACUCAGGGGAAACUUAGGUUGAAAAAAAUAUAAGCUAUCCUGAGCCAAAUUUUAUAUUCUACACAUAAGAUAGGUGCAGAGACUCGAUGGAAGCUAUCCUAACGCAAAAAAUUUUAAGAGUUAUUUAAUUGAAUUCUCUAAGUUAAUGAAAAUAAAAAAAAAAGAUUAUGAAUUUUUUUUUAACUAGCGAGCGAGGAUGAAGAUAGAGUCCGAUUUUACAUGUUGAUUUUGGCCACGAUUUGGAUUGUGGUGGGGAGGGGGUCCGUUGGCUUUAUUGACCGUGAGGGUUCGGGUCCCUCUGCCCCC
rnacentral:tRNA from 1 species